UACGUAGGGUGCAAGCGUUGUCCGGAAUUAUUGGGCGUAAAGCGCGCGCAGGCGGUCUUUUAAGUCUGAUGUGAAAGCCCACGGCUCAACCGUGGAGGGUCAUUGGAAACUGGGAGACUUGAGUGCAGAAGAGAAGAGCGGAAUUCCACGUGUAGCGGUGAAAUGCGUAGAGAUGUGGAGGAACACCAGUGGCGAAGGCGGCUCUUUGGUCUGUAACUGACGCUGAGGCGCGAAAGCGUGGGGGAGCGAACAGG
rnacentral:rRNA from 1 species